CUUAAACCUCCGGAACUGUAAACGAAUCAGUCUGUGUUGUUUAUGCCACCAAGUUUGCGGACAGCUGUAACAGCAACCCUGGGCACCUCUCACCAACAUGGAUCAUCUGCCUUUAAAUACACGAUGGACCUAAAACACAGAGAGGCAGGCCGCCCACGUUGCCAUAGUGAUGAGCAUCACGACAGAGUUUGAGCCCAGGGCUGUCUGAUCCCAAGGCCCAGGCUCUUUGUUCUGUCCCAUGAGAAAAGCCACUCUUUAAACAUAAAUGCCCGUGGGAAGGUGACUAACUUGGUCCCUUUGCAGCCUAGGUAACUGGAAAGCUUUCUUUAAAAAACACCCGAAAGGAAACGACCACAAAUAGCAAUGUCCAGGUGAAGGCACAGCUGAGCCUGUGGGAUGUGGGAACCCGCCCCCUCCCCGGGGUGGGUGUGGCCCACAUUGAAGCUGGAGCUGAAAACCACCAGGUGGUCAGCAUUUGAGCCCAGGCUUUAACUCUAUGAGGCUGAGUGAGAGGUGUUGCCAAGCCCUGCAUCAAGGGGCUGGGGUGGCGACCCCGCCCCAGAGGCAGGGGGCGUGGCCUGGGGAUUGAGGUGGGGCAGGGUGGCCUCUUAAGAACCACAGUUUGCAUGAACUGUAGAACAGGAAACACCUGUCCCAACGCAGUUGGAUAAGGAGGCUGGUCUGUCUGUGGAGGAGGCGAAACAUGGGGAGGUGCUGGCUGAGCAGUUUCCAGAAUUGAGGAAGACCAAGCAUCAUCAGAUUCAGGAAGCCCGGCUUGGGGCCAAAGGGAAGACAUGCCACACGGACGGACGGACGGACGGAUGGGCAGGCGGCUGCAUCCAGCGUGAUCUGAGGCUCGAGGAAGCUGGAGGUAGGGGCGCGGACGCAGCGCUGAUGGGGUGGGGGCUGCGUGGGGGUAGCAGGCCUGGGCAGCCAGGAACUGGGCCAGGUGUGCUCUGGGGCUAAGGCUCCGUCCCAAGCCUACCGAAGAUGCUGGGGGGUCGGGCGGGGCGUGGAUUCUAGAUCCUGUUCUCAGAGGCUGGGGUUGGGGGGAGACUGAGGCUUUGGCGACAAAUCCACAGUCUGGAGUUGCAGUCAUGCUGGGAUAGGUUUCAGGGAAUGCCCUAAGUGAAGAGAGUUGGAACAAGCAAGAGAGGAAACGAUUCAACCCAGAGUCUACAUGGCCCCUGCAACCCUAAC
rnacentral:lncRNA from 1 species